CCAGAUGCAUCAGUAUUUGCCAUUAAACCUCGAAAUUGGUUAUGUUGAGCAACCAUUUCAAUGCAGUUAUCAUGUGAACAACUCAACCACUUCAAAAGAUGAAUCUUGAAGAAAGCUUACUUCUUUUACAUCUAUGGAUACAUUUUAUAUUUGAUCAAUGCAGAUGAUAACCAACAGUAAUGGAUGGGAGAAGCUUGUCGACACUAAUUCUGACAUAGAUCAGGAGGGUAAACAGGCGUGUAGGAUGUCUCCUUCAAUGGGGACAGUUCAUGGCAACUUCUUUUCAACUUCCCUUAUCUGCACCGAAGAAAUUAUUGUGACACACAUUUCUACCACACAAAUAAAUUUCGUAAUGCCUUUUUGAUUUUGUUAUCUUGAUAUUCUUCACUUGGGAUCUUAUAUUUUCUUUUAUGCAAAUGUCAUACGUUAAGGAGGUAUGUAAAGUCUGUAAUUUUUUUUUAAAUGGAAGUGGUAUGACUUAGGCCUAGAGAUUGAACUGGAA